GAUGAACGCUGGCGGCGUGCCUAAUACAUGCAAGUCGAGCGAACAGACGAGGAGCUUGCUCCUCUGACGUUAGCGGCGGACGGGUGAGUAACACGUGGAUAACCUACCUAUAAGACUGGGAUAACUUCGGGAAACCGGAGCUAAUACCGGAUAAUAUAUUGAACCGCAUGGUUCAAUAGUGAAAGACGGUUUUGCUGUCACUUAUAGAUGGAUCCGCGCCGCAUUAGCUAGUUGGUAAGGUAACGGCUUACCAAGGCAACGAUGCGUAGCCGACCUGAGAGGGUGAUCGGCCACACCGGAACUGAGACACGGUCCAGACUCCGACGGGAGGCAGCAGUAGGGAAUCUUCCGCAAUGGGCGAAAGCUUGACGGAGCAACGCCGCGUGAGUGAUGAAGGUCUUCGGAUCGUAAAACUCUGUUAUUAGGGAAGAACAAAUGUGUAAGUAACUAUGCACGUCUUGACAGUACCUAAUCAGAAAGCCACGGCUAACUACGUG
rnacentral:rRNA from 1 species